rnacentral:rRNA from 1 species
CCCCAGCGCCACAAGUGGUCAUCGCGAUUAUUGGGCCUAAAGCGUUCGUAGCCUGUUUAGUACAUCUCUUGUGAAAUUGUUCGGCUUAACCGGACAGCGUGCAGGAGACACGGCUAGACUCGAGACCGGGAGGCGUGCGAAGUAUGUCGUGGGGACUGGUAAAAUGGGAUAAUCCACGAUAGACUACCGAUGGCGAAGGCAUCGCACGAGAACGGAUCUGACGGUGAGGAACGAAAGCCAGGGGAGCGAACCGG